UUUAAUUUUAUUAAUAAAAAAUAUUUUUAGGGAUAAGCUUAAGAAUAAAUUUAUAUAAUAUUAUUUUAUUAAAAUUAAAUGUAGGAUUAAAAAUUUCUUUUAUUAAUAAUUUGUUAUAAUUAAUUUUUAAAUUUUAUUAUUUUUAUAAUAUUUAUAUUUUUUAUUAAAAUGUUUUAUUUAAUUAUUUAUUAAAAAUAAUAAUGAUAAAAUUAGUAUAAUUUUAUGUAUAAAUUUAAAAAAUAUAAAAGGUUAAAUUAAGGAAUUCGGCAAAUAAAUUUUUCGCCUGUUUAAUAAAAACAUGUCUUUUUGAUAAUAAUAUAAAGUCUAACCUGCCCAAUGAGUUUUAAAUGGCCGCGGUAUUUUGACCGUGCAAAGGUAGCAUAAUCAUUAGUUUUUUAAUUGAAAGCUAGAAUGAAAGGUUGGACGAGAAAAUUACUGUCUCAAUUUAAUUUAAUUAGAAUUUUAUUUUUAAGUAAAAAAGCUUAAAUUUAUUUAAAAGACGAGAAGACCCUAUAGAGUUUUAUAUUAAAAAUAAUAUAUUUAUUUAUAAUUUGUUUUUAUUUUUUUUAAUAUUUUAUUGGGGUGAUAAAUAAAUUUAAUAAACUUUAUUUUUUUAAACACAUAAAUUUAUGAAUUAUUGAUCCAUUAAUAAUGAUUAUAAGAUUAAAUUACCUUAGGGAUAACAGCGUUAUCUUUUUAGAGAGUUCAAAUCGAAAAAAAGGAUUGCGACCUCGAUGUUGGAUUAAAAUUUAUUUUUGGUGUAGAAGCUAAAAUAUUAAGUCUGUUCGACUUUUAAAAUUUUACAUGAUCUGAGUUUAAACCGGUGUGAGCCAGGUUGGUUUCUAUCUUUAAAAAUUUUUUAUAUUUUAGUACGAAAGGACCAAAUAUAAAUAAUAUUUAUUAAUAUUUGAAUAUUAUU
rnacentral:rRNA from 1 species